rnacentral:rRNA from 1 species
UACGGAGGGUGCAAGCGUUGUCCGGAAUCACUGGGCGUAAAGAGUGUGUAGGCGGUGCUCUAAGUUCGGUGUGAAAUCUCCCGGCUUAACUGGGAGGGUGCGCCGGAAACUGGAGUGCUCGAGCGUGGGAGAGGAAAGCGGAAUUCCUGGUGUAGCGGUGAAAUGCGUAGAUAUCAGGAGGAACACCUGCGGUGUAGACGGCUUUCUGGACCAUUGCUGACGCUGAGACACGAAAGCGUGGGUAGCAAACAGG